rnacentral:rRNA from 1 species
UACGUAGGGUGCGAGCGUUGUCCGGAAUUAUUGGGCGUAAAGAGCUCGUAGGUGGCGGGUCACGUCGGGUGUGAAAGCCCGGAGCUCAACUCCGGGUCUGCAGUCGAUACGGGCAGACUUGAGUGUUGCAGGGGAGACUGGAAUUCCUGGUGUAGCGGUGAAAUGCGCAGAUAUCAGGAGGAACACCGGUGGCGAAGGCGGGUCUCUGGGCAACAACUGACGCUGGAGGAGCGAAAGCGUGGGGAGCGAACAGG